rnacentral:rRNA from 1 species
CCUACGGGUGGCUGCAGUAAGGAAUAUUGGUCAAUGGACGAAAGUCUGAACCAGCCAUCCCGCGUGCAGGAUGAAAGCCCUAUGGGUUGUAAACUGCUUUUAGCAGAGAAGAAAAGCUUUCAUUAAUGAGAGUCUGACGGUAUCUGCAGAAUAAGCACCGGCUAACUCCGUGCCAGCAGCCGCGGUAAUACGGAGGGUGCGGGCGUUAUCCGGAAUUACUGGGUUUAAAGGGUAGUAAGGCGUCAGUGUAGAAGUCUUGUCGCUUAACUAUAAAAUGGCCAAUGAUACUGGUACUCUUGAAUUGGGUUGAGGUUAGCGGAAUGUGACAUGUAGCGGUGAAAUGCAUAGAUAUGUCAUGGAACACCAAUUGCGAAGGCAGCUAACUGGGCCUUGAUUGACGCUGAGGCACGAAAGCGUGGGUAGCGAACAGGAUUAGAUACCCGUGUAGUC